CGGUUAGCACUUAGCAUUUUAGCUCAUCUCUAAAUAACUUUCUGCUUUUUGCUUUGCAGAUGUGUUUUUUGGGUGCUUUUUGCUUAUAAAUAUUUCAUCAGACACUAUAGGAUAUCAUUGAGCAAACUUGGCGUAUUCUGCUUUGUUUGUCCUUAAGGAAAAUCCAUGGAUAUCAUCGUGAAAAAUAAACCUAAACUCGUCCAAUUGCUAAAAGUGGAUCCGAUCCGGAUUUUGCAAUACGUACAAUCGCACGCGCUUAUAACAAAUACGGAGUACGGUAAUCUCAAAUCCAUUUAUAGAAAUUCGUCAGAAGAGAAUGUUGCUAUUGAACUCCUAGACAUCCUCUGUGGAAAAGGUGAAAAUGUGUGUCAAAGUUUUCUGAAAAUGUUAGAAGAUGAUGAUGUGAACGAAAAUUGUCCUGAACUCAGAGCCUGGAUUAAAACAGUGGAAACUAAAGAGACAGAAAAGGCGGGACCAUCCAACCAUCAGCAGAAUCUCAGACCAACAUCAGGAGUUAGUGCAAGUAUAAGUGCAACUGAUGGAGGCACUGUUAUUGCACCUAUCAUAACGGAUUCAAAAUUGGGCCCCAUUAAUAUAAAUAUGAACGCACCCCGUGGGCAACCAUGAGAAACUCCGAUCAAACUAAAGAUUGUGGAAGAGGAGAAUCUAAAGUAGUAACAGAUUGUAAGGAGUUUCUGAAAACGAACCACAGUUCCUUGGUCCAAAAAGUCAAGCACAUUGAUGUUAUUCUUGAUGAUCUUGAUUUACAUCCUGAAGCAGCUGCAAAUGUGAGAUCACAGGGAACAAAUCAAGACAAAAUGAGAAAGCUGCUUGACUAUAUGAAUUCUAAAGCCAUCGCUGAACAUCUGGUUGAUGCUUUGUUUAAGCAUGAACGUGAUCUCAUGGAUGAUCUACUCAGUUAAAAUUGUACCGUCUACAUUCCAGUAACUUUUUUUUACCAAAGAUUUUUUUUAUCAAUUGUGGCAUUGUACACACCAAAUUUAUAUCAACACAGUCUCAGGCCUUUUUAAAAUGAACAAUUGAAUAAACACCAAUUUUUAUAUGAGUCAUUUUAUAUUGCCCAUUUUGUACAUGAUCACAAUGGCUUUGUAAUAAAUAAAAAUACAGUUUUUAUCAGGUAAAGUCUGUUUGUUUUAACAUUUAUAGGAUCCUUUAAAAGUUGCUACUGCCUGUUUUU